AGAGACUUAGGAUAAUCUUAAACCAAGGACCUUCAAAGCCCUAAACAGGGGACAAAGCCCCCUAGUCUCUG
rnacentral:tRNA from 1 species